CCCUUAGAUGUCCUGGGCCGCACGCGCGCUACACUGAGUGUCUGAGAUACGAGUCUGCCUGGUCCGGCAAGGUCUAGGUAAUCGCUAAAAGACACAUCAUGCUUGGGAUAGAUUUUUGCAAAUAUUAAUCUUGAACGAGGAAUUCCUAGUAAGCGCAAGUCAACAGCUUGCGUUGAUUACGUCCCUGCCCUUUGUACACACCGCCCGUCGCUCCUACCGAUUGAAUGUUCCGGUGAGCUCUUCGGACUGCGCGGUCUGCAGUUUCUGCGUUCCGUGCGGAAAGUUGCGCAAACCUUAACAUUUAGAGGAAGGAGAAGUCGUAACA
rnacentral:rRNA from 1 species